rnacentral:lncRNA from 1 species
UUAAGUAUUUAUAAAAUCUAAACCAACAUUUUAAAAAGUAUGUUAGUGCCUCAAAACAAUGAAAACACACGACAAACAUUAAUUAUAAUGCCUAUUAUAAUUUAUGAAAAUCUAAAUUUAUUUCAAAUGCCCCCCAAACAAUUUGUGGCAGUGCCUAAAUUUACAGUGUGAAUAAUAGGUCUGGCCACAUAUUUUUCAAAGGUCAAUUGGUUUCAAAGUAAAUGC